rnacentral:tRNA from 1 species
AGAAGUGUAGCUCAGUGGUAGAUCACUUGCCUAGUAUGUAGUGAUGCCCUGGGUUCAAUUCCCAGCACUGCAA